rnacentral:SRP_RNA from 1 species
GCCGGGCGUUGUGGCGUGCGCCUGUAAUCCAGUUACUUGGAGGCUUGGGUUGGAGGACGGUGUGAGAUUGGGAGCUCUGUGCCGCUCUGUCCUAUGUCGAUCGGGCGUCUGGGCACUCUAUAUAUGGGCAUUCCAGGGGAGCCCGGAGUGGCUCGGUUGUCUAAGGAGGAACGCACCGGGCGAGGCCCGAAAGGGAGCAGCCAAAAUCGAAAGGGAGCAGCCAGUCAAUAUCGCGGGACCCAAUCCUUU